UACGUAGGGGGCAAGCGUUGUCCGGAUUUAUUGGGCGUAAAGAGCGUGUAGGCGGCUAGAUAGGUCCGUUGUGAAAACUCGAGGCUCAACCUCGAGACGUCGAUGGAAACCAUCUGGCUAGAGUCCGGAAGAGGAGAGUGGAAUUCCUGGUGUAGCGGUGAAAUGCGCAGAUAUCAGGAAGAACACCCGUGGCGAAGGCGGCUCUCUGGUACGUGACUGACGCUGAGACGCGAAAGCUAGGGGAGCGAACGGG
rnacentral:rRNA from 1 species